rnacentral:rRNA from 1 species
AGAGUUUGAUCAUGGCUCAGGAUGAACGCUAGCGGCAGGCCUAACACAUGCAAGUAGAACGGUAACAGAGAGAGCUUGCUCUUUGCUGACGAGUUGCGAACGGGUGCGUAACGCGUAUGCAACCUACCCAUAACAGGGGGAUAGCCCAUAGAAAUGUGGAUUAAUACCCCAUAACAUCAUAGAUUGGCAUCAUGAAAUGAUUAAAACUCCCGGUGGUUAUGGAUGGGCAUGCGUGACAUUAGCUAGUUGGUGAGGUAACUGCUCACCAAGGCAACGAUGUCUAGGGGUUCUGAGAGGAUGAUCCCCCACACUGGUACUGAGACACGGACCAGACUCCUNCGGGAGGCAGCAGUGAGGAACAUUGCGCAAUGGAGGAAACUCUGACGCAGCCAUGCCGCGUNCAGGAAGACUGCCCUAUGGGUUGUAAU